AGAGUUUGAUUAUGGCUCAGGAUGAACGCUAGCGGCAGGCCUAAUACAUGCAAGUCGAACGGUGUCUUCGGACAUAGUGGCGCACGGGUGCGUAACACGUAUGCAACCUACCUUACAUUGGGGGAUAGCCUUUCGAAAGGGAGAUUAAUACCGCAUAAGACAGUAGUCUGGCAUCAGACAGCUGUUAAAGAUUUAUCGAUGUAAGCUGGGCAUGCGUCCAAUUAGUUAGUUGGCGAGGUAACGGCUCACCAAGACUAUGAUUGGUAGGGGAACUGAGAGGUCAAUCCCCCACACUGGCACUGAGAUACGGGCCAGACUCCUACGGGAGGCAGCAGUAGGGAAUAUUGGGCAAUGGACGCAAGUCUGACCCAGCCAUGCCGCGUGCAGGAAGAAGGCGUUAUGCGUUGUAAACUGCUUUUAUACAGGAAGAAACGACUCUUGCGAGAGGCAUUGACGGUACUGUAUGAAUAAGCACCGGCUAACUCCGUGCCAGCAGCCGCGGUAAUACGGAGGGUGCAAGCGUUGUCCGGAUUUAUUGGGUUUAAAGGGUGCGCAGGUGGUUUAUUAAGUCAGUGGUGAAAGACGGUCGCUCAACGAUUGCAGUGCCAUUGAAACUGGUAGACUUGAGUAAAGUAGAGGUGGGCGGAAUUGAUAGUGUAGCGGUGAAAUGCAUAGAUAUUAUCAAGAACUCCAAUUGCGUAGGCAGCUCACUUGGCUUUUACUGACACUCAUGCACGAAAGUGUGGGUAUCAAACAGGAUUAGAUACCCUGGUAGUCCACACUGUAAACGAUGAUAACUAGGUGUCGGCCGAAUCUGGUCGGUGCCACAGCGAAAGCGUUAAG
rnacentral:rRNA from 1 species